CGUGACGACCGCGCCUCGACCCGCCGACCAAAAUCUUCCUCCGCUCAGAAGAAACUAGUCCCGUUUUGCGGCCCCUAUCACGGGACUCUUGGGGGGUUUUGAGCUCUGGACUUUUACUGAUAAGGAAACACUCGUGUUUGGAGGAGAUGGACCGGGAUCAGAACCAGGACCAGAUCCAGGACCAGAUCCAGGACCGGGGUCAGAACCAGGACCAGGAGUCCAGCAGCAGGACCAAAGCGGACUCUUCCUCCGCUGGUCUGCAGAAACAGUUAACACAGAAAACAAAGUCACAAAUGCAAAAAAAUAAAUAAAUAAAUAUGAUCAUGGGACUACGCCAAAAUCUACAGUCCAUCAAAACCUGACCAUCCAAUAAUCCUGAAACACAGAUCAGGACAGCAGCACAGCAUCCGCGGCGAUGAGCAUCAAGCUGAUCUGAAGAUCCAAAGGGUCACGGCACCAGUGGGACCGGUUUGGAUCCGUUGCGACAAAUGACGAGUCAUAGGUUUGUUUUGCUACAUUUAUUUCUGCAGAAGACGGGAAAGCGUUGACUAUAAAGGAUGGUGUAUUUAUCAUUGUGUGUGUGUGUAAGCGGUAAGUCGGUGAACUUCGCUCAGCGCUGCUCCUCAGCCAAUGUCCUUGAUGUUAUCAGGCGGCUCGGUCAGUUCUG